rnacentral:rRNA from 1 species
UACGUAGGGUGCAAGCGUUGUUCGGAAUCAUUGGGCGUAAAGCGUGCGUAGGUGGUUUUUUAAGUCCGUUGUGAAAGCCCUGGGCUCAACCUGGGAAUGGCAGUGGAUACUGGAAAGCUAGAGUGCGGUAGAGGGUAGUGGAAUUCCCGGUGUAGCAGUGAAAUGCGUAGAGAUCGGGAGGAACACCAGUGGCGAAGGCGGCUACCUGGACCAGCACUGACACUGAGGCACGAAAGCGUGGGGAGCAAACAGG